UUUUUGAAGAUGAUUCUGGGUCAGAAGAAGCUGAGAACCUGUUAACCAGGAGGAAGAGGAGUUGAGAGGUUCAGGGAGGAGCUGAGAUGUUACUGAACUCUAGAAGAAACUCAAACUUCCUCAUUCAACACAGUUCAACACAUAAACAUCUACUCUGCUCAACAUGGACUAUUAUGGACUUUCUCUGCUCAUCGCCUCACUUCUAACAGGUGUCAGCUGUGAUCAACUGACUCCACAUAAGAAGGACGUUUUGGGUUUAGAAGGCAGCUCUGUUACUCUGUCCUACAAUUUAUCCAGACAAGCAGCUGUGAAUGAUUACUUCUUCUGGUAUCGACAAUAUCCUGGAAAACCUCCAGAGUUCCUGAUCUCUCACACUGGAAAAGGAAGCAAACUCCAGGAUCCAGUUCCUGGUUUUUCCUUUAAAGUGAGAGAUGAUAAAACCCAGAUGGACCUGCAGAUCAUCUCUGCUGCAGUGACAGAUUCUGUUGUGUACUACUGUGCUCUGCAGCCCACAGUGACAGGAAACACCAGAACUCUGUACAAGAACCUGCAGUACUCCACAUCAUCCACUAGAGGACCUCACACACUGUUAAACCACUGAUUGUUGAGUCUUUGGACUGAUGACAAAGACAACAGAGACAUGAAGCAGUAAAGAUCAGAGACAGAGCUGCUGUGGAAGCAGAAAACUCUGUGAUUGGUUGAGUUGAAGUGGCCCCGCCCACUGAACUUCAGCUCCUCCAAUGACAUUAUUUCUUCCUCCUUCUACUACAGUGGAAGAACAUUGUUCAUCUGCUGUGUGUGGCUUUAAGAGCUCCAGAGACAUGUUGCUUUACCUCUUUUUGCUUCUAUCUCACCUUCUAGGUGAGUUUAAGAUCAGGGAUUCAAGUUUUGUUCCAGCUGCUGCAUCAACCACAGAUACAGACUGCAUUUCACUACUUUUCUGCUUU